rnacentral:rRNA from 1 species
UACGUAGGUGGCAAGCGUUUGUCCGGAUUUAUUGGGUUUAAAGGGUGCGUAGGCGGUCCUAUAAGUCAGUGCUGAAAUAUCCCGGCUUAACCGGGAGGGUGGCAUUGAUACUGCAGGACUUGAGUAAAGUUGAGGUAGGCGGAAUUGACGGUGUAGCGGUGAAAUGCUUAGAUAUCGUCAAGAACACCGAUAGUGAAGACAGCUUACUAAACUUUAACUGACGCUGAGGCACGAAAGUGUGGGGAUCAAACAGG